GCACGUCAAUUAAUUAGGCCAAGUCCAACGCUUUGUAUUUUUUCUGAUUCUAUUUCUUUCUUUUUUUUCAUUUUAAAUUUCAUUUUCUUUUAAAAUUCAUAACAAAAUCAUUUUACAUCGAAAAAAAAUUCUAAAAUUCUUUUUAUUUUUCUUCAUCUGAUUUUUAUUUUUCCACAUUGUAUUUUCUUGAUUUGCUAUUUUUCUUGAUAGUUCUCUUUUCUCCUUUGUUUUAAUUGGUUUAAAAAUACUUUUAUGCAUUUUUAAAUUUUGAAAAAU
rnacentral:lncRNA from 1 species